rnacentral:rRNA from 1 species
CCUAUACAUGCAGUAGAACGCUGAAGAGAGGAGCUUGCUCUUCUUGGAUGAGUUGCGAACGGGUGAGUAACGCGUAGGUAACCUGCCUUGUAGCGGGGGAUAACUAUUGGAAACGAUAGCUAAUACCGCAUAACAAUGGAUGACACAUGUCAUUUAUUUGAAAGGGGCAAUUGCUCCACUACAAGAUGGACCUGCGUUGUAUUAGCUAGUAGGUGAGGUAAUGGCUCACCUAGGCGACGAUACAUAGCCGACCUGAGAGGGUGAUCGGCCACACUGGGACUGAGACACGGCCCAGACUCCUACGGGAGGCAGCAGUAGGGAAUCUUCGGCAAUGGGGGCAACCCUGACCGAGCAACGCCGCGUGAGUGAAGAAGGUUUUCGGAUCGUAAAGCUCUGUUGUAAGUCAAGAACGGGUGUGAGAGUGGAAAGUUCACACUGUGACGGUAGCUUACCAGAAAGGGACGGCUAACUACGUGCCAGCAGCCGCGGUAAUACGUAGGUCCCGAGCGUUGUCCGGAUUUAUUGGGCGUAAAGCGAGCGCAGGCGGUUUGAUAAGUCUGAAGUUAAAGGCUGUGGCUCAACCAUAGUUCGCUUUGGAAACUGUCAAACUUGAGUGCAGAAGGGGAGAGUGGAAUUCCAUGUGUAGCGGUGAAAUGCGUAGAUAUAUGGAGGAACACCGGUGGCGAAAGCGGCUCUCUGGUCUGUAACUGACGCUGAGGCUCGAAAGCGUGGGGAGCGAACAGGAUUAGAUACCCUGGUAGUCCACGCCGUAAACGAUGAGUGCUAGGUGUUGGAUCCUUUCCGGGAUUCAGUGCCGCAGCUAACGCAUUAAGCACUCCGCCUGGGGAGUACGACCGCAAGGUUGAAACUCAAAGGAAUUGACGGGGGCCCGCACAAGCGGUGGAGCAUGUGGUUUAAUUCGAAGCAACGCGAAGAACCUUACCAGGUCUUGACAUCCCGAUGCUAUUUCUAGAGAUAGAAAGUUACUUCGGUACAUCGGUGACAGGUGGUGCAUGGUUGUCGUCAGCUCGUGUCGUGAGAUGUUGGGUUAAGUCCCGCAACGAGCGCAACCCCUAUUGUUAGUUGCCAUCAUUCAGUUGGGCACUCUAGCGAGACUGCCGGUAAUAAACCGGAGGAAGGUGGGGAUGACGUCAAAUCAUCAUGCCCCUUAUGACCUGGGCUACACACGUGCUACAAUGGUUGGUACAACGAGUUGCGAGUCGGUGACGGCGAGCUAAUCUCUUAAAGCCAAUCUCAGUUCGGAUUGUAGGCUGCAACUCGCCUACAUGAAGUCGGAAUCGCUAGUAAUCGCGGAUCAGCACGCCGCGGUGAAUACGUUCCCGGGCCUUGUACACACCGCCCGUCACACCACGAGAGUUUGUAACACCCGAAGUCGGUGAGGUAACCUUUGGAGCCAGCCGCGGA